rnacentral:rRNA from 1 species
AUACGGAGGGUGCAAGCGUUAAUCGGAAUUACUGGGCGUAAAGCGUACGUAGGCGGUUUAUUAAGUCAGAUGUGAAAGCCCCGGGCUUAACCUGGGAACUGCAUUUGAAACUAGUAGACUAGAGUAUGGUAGAGGGGGGUAGAAUUCCUAGUGUAGCGGUGAAAUGCGUAGAUAUUAGGAGGAAUACCAGUGGCGAAGGCGGCCCCCUGGACCAAUAUUGACGCUGAGGUACGAAAGCGUGGGGAGCGAACAGGAUUAGAUACCCGAGUAGUCC